rnacentral:lncRNA from 1 species
AUGAAUGUAAAAAGACCCACUCCUGUUCACAUUCACGUGCAACUUCAGAGCAUAAAAACUAAUGGAAGUGGCUGGGUGUGGUGGCUCACGCCUGUAAUCCCAACACUUUGGGAGGCUGAGGCAGGCAGAUCACAAGGUCAGGAGUUGGAAACCAGCUUAGCCAACAUGGUGAAACCCUGUCUCUACUAAAAAUACAAAAAUUAGCUGGGUGUGGUGGUGGGCACCUGUAGUCCCAGCUAUUCGGGAGGCGGAGGUUGCAGGGAGUGAAGAUCACACCACUGCACUCCAGCCUGGGUAACAGAGCAAGACUCCAUCUCAAAAACAAACAGAACUGUAUAACAGCCAACAAUUUCUGGUAACAGCAUAAUUUCAUCUCUUUGGAAGUUUCCAGAAUAACGUUGAGAUCCACAGUUAUGGGACUCUAAAACGCCUUUCAGUAGCUAUCUUUGUCCUAUAUGUUUAGAGCCCUGUGAAUCACUAUAUGGUUUCCAAUCCUCUUGAGAUCCUGUGACUUGGGUUAGGACGCUGUAUCAUUUCAAUCAAUGAAAGCUGGUUUUUGUUCACUGUUGUUUGUUUAUUUAUUUUUGAAGACUACCUCCUCAUUCUUUGCUUGUUAUACACAAAACCCACACAAAAUAAUUAUGAUUAAUAUUUACUCAGUGUUGACUAUAUAGCAGGCAGUGUUCUAAAUAUUUGAAAAAUAUUGUCACUUACUCUGGGCAACAACAUGGGAAAGGUCUAAUUAUUAUCUCUGUUUAACAGAUGCUGAAGCAGAAACUGAGAGAGUUUAAGUAAUUGGGUUUAAUAAUAAGUAUUGGAGCAGGAGUUUGAGGCCAAGCAGCCUGGCUCAAGGCCCCAUGCUCUUAUCCUGCAUUUAUGAUCAUGUAAUUGACAAGCACAUAGGCUACAAGGAGACAAACCUCAAGCUAAUACCACCAAGAGAGACUACUGUUGUAUUAUUAUCAUGUGAUGUGAUUUAGUUCUGAGCGCUGACCUUCAGGGAUACAAUGCAAACUUAAUAGAGUUUACUGUCCAGCUUAAAAAAAAAAGCAUGAAGACACUCAGAGAUAGACAACUAGCCAGGAUAUAUCCUGGAAGGCAGGCUAUAAUGGCCACCUUUGUUUUAACUUUUCUAGUCUUGAGUAUUUUAUAAAUUACCCCAAGUGUCAUUGCCUUAACUAUCCAACCCUAUCAUUCAGUGUUCCCCAGACUUGUCUGAAAAUAGGUGUUGGCUGUUUUUUUUGAAGGUCGAAGCCAACCUCAAAGAGUAAUUUUCACCAUUGGAAAAUUUCAAAAGAAUAUGCUGUGGUCUGUGUGGGUAAUUAAUUCUAAAAGAAGCUCUCCUACAUUUUUCAGCAAUGGAAAGCUCACUGGAAAAAGCAUAUGUUCUCUGGGACUGACCCCUUUAAAUGUGGACAUGCCCUUUGGAUGCUCUAGU